rnacentral:misc_RNA from 1 species
GAAAUGCGAUAAUUAAUGUGAAUUGCAGAAUUCAGUGAAUCAUCGAGUCUUUGAACACACAUUGCGCCCCCUGGUAUUCCGGGGGGCAUGCCUGUCCGAGCGUCAUUGCUGCCCUCAAGCACGGCUUGUGUGUUGGGCUUCCGUCCCUGGCAACGGGGACGGGCCCAAAAGGCAGUGGCGGCACCAUGUCUGGUCCUCGAGCGUAUGGGGCUUUGUCACCCGCUCCCGUAGGUCCAGCUGGCAGCUAGCCUCGCAACCAAUCUUUUUAACCAGGUUGACCUCGGAUCAGGUAGGGAUACCUGCUGAACUUAAGC